rnacentral:rRNA from 1 species
GAGUUUGAUUAUGGCUCAGGACAAACGCUGGCGGCGUGCAUAACACAUGCAAGUCGAACGAAAUCUACAUGAUUUAGUGGCGAACGGGUGAGUAACACGUGAGAAACCUGCCUUACACAGAGGGAUAGCCGUUGGAAACGACGAUUAAUACCUCAUGACACCGUGACAUCGCAUGAUGAUGCGGUCAAAGAUUUAUCGGUGUAAGAUGGUCUCGCGCCUGAUUAGCUGGUUGGUGGGGUAACGGCCUACCAAGGCGACGAUCAGUAGCCGAUCUGAGAGGGUGGACGGCCACAUUGGGACUGAGACACGGCCCAAACUCCUACGGGAGGCAGCAGUGGGGAAUUUUGCACAAUGGGGGAAACCCUGAUGCAGCGACGCCGCGUGAACGAAGAAGGCCUUCGGGUUGUAAAGUUCUGUCCUUGGU